CCUUUGCACCACUGACCUUGAGGAGCCUUUUGUUCCUCCUGUCCCAGUUUGGUUUCCAUGGGAACCUGAGUGGCAGCGUCAUCACUUUGCUGAGGUUUCAGAUCCCUUAGUUUUGGGUGCCCAAGUUCACGGAGGGUGCCGGGGAAUAGAAGCUCUGUCAGUCUCGUCUGGAUCUUGGUCCUCAGCAACUGUCUGGAUCCUGACAGUGCAGUAAGAGCUUGCCUGGCCUGUGUGCAGAGCUGCCUCAUCCUGAAAUUCUGGGAGUUGAAAGCCCCAGGGCAACCCUUAACCAAUGGGGGAAAAGCAUUGGUGUGUAAAUCCCCCAGCUUCCCUGGGUGGGCUGCAGCUGAGCCAUAGUCUACAUGACACUUCCGAGGAUCCCCAGUGGGCAUGACCUCAAUCGCCCACAUUGGAUGCCACAACCUGCACUGGCUUUUCUCCCUUCCCUGUGGGUCUCUCUCUGCACUUCCUCCCUUGUGCAUUCUAGGUUCACCUUCCAAAUAAAUGAUGUGCACUC
rnacentral:lncRNA from 1 species